AUUGAACGCUGGCGGCAUGCUUUACACAUGCAAGUCGAACGGCAGCGCGGUCUUCGGCCUGGCGGCGAGUGGCGAACUGGUGCGUAAUACAUCGUAACGUGCCCAGUAGUGGGCUACAGCGCUUGGCAAGCCGGAUUAAUACCGCAUGCGACCGUAGGUGGAAAGCGGGGGAUCUUCGGACCUCGCGCUAUUGGAGCGGCCGAUGGCAGAUUCGCUAGUUGGUGGGGUAAAGGCCUACCAAGGCGACGAUCUGUAGCUGGUCUGAGAGGACGACCAGCGCCACUGCGCCUGAGACACGGCCCAGAGGCCUACGCGGCCACGCAGUUGCCAGUUUUGGACAAUGGGCGAAAGCCUGAUCCAGCAAUGCCGCGUGUGUGAUGAAGCAGGUCGGGUUGUAAAGCACUUUUGGCGGGAACGAAAAUGACUGUGCCAAUACCACGGUUCGAUGACGGUACCCGCAGAAUAAGCACCGGCUAACUACGUG
rnacentral:rRNA from 1 species